rnacentral:ribozyme from 13 species
GAAGUGGAAGAAGAAGAAGAAGAAGAAGAAUAAAUUUCUUCUAUUUUUCCUUCAUUCUUUUGUUUUUCUUCUCCUUCCUCUUCCCCAGAUAAGUUUAAU